GAUGAAGAACGUAGCGAAAUGCGAUAAGUAAUGUGAAUUGCAGAAUUCAGUGAAUCAUCGAAUCUUUGAACGCACAUUGCGCCCCUUGGUAUUCCGGGGGGCAUGCCUGUUCGAGCGUCAUUAUAACCCCUCAAGCUCAGCUUGGUGUUGGGGCCUGCCGACUGGCAGCCCUUAAAAUCAGUGGCGGCGCCAUCUGGUUCUAAGCGUAGUAAUUUCUCUCGCUAUAGAGUCCCGGUGGAUGCUUGCCAGCAACCCCCAACUUUCUAUGGUUGACCUCGGAUCAGGUAGGGAUACCCGCUGAACUUAAGCAUAUCAAUAAGCGGAGGA
rnacentral:misc_RNA from 1 species